rnacentral:rRNA from 1 species
UACGGGGGGGGCAAGCGUUGUUCGGAAUUACUGGGCGUAAAGGGCUCGUAGGCGGCCAACUAAGUCAGACGUGAAAUCCCUCGGCUUAACCGGGGAACUGCGUCUGAUACUGGAUGGCUUGAGUUUGGGAGAGGGAUGCGGAAUUCCAGGUGUAGCGGUGAAAUGCGUAGAUAUCGGGAGGAACACCAGUGGCGAAAGCGGCUCACUGGACCGCAACUGACGCUGAGGCGCGAAAGCGAGGGGAGCAAACAGG